GGACGACAGGCAGGGACCUGACUUCCACGAGGGACUCUCUGGUUUAUCAGCAUGCAGCGAGGUCUAGAAACCAGAAGUUGACUGAUGUUACAGACGUCAGAAGCCACACUUGUCUGCCGGUUCCCGGCUGUUUUCGUGAGUCUUGAGGAGCUGCGAGGAUCGAGGACUUAUAGGAGAGAGACGGUCUGGAUCUGAUCUGGUCCUGAGAGAACUGCAUCUCUUUAUAUUCCACAUCCCUACACAGAUACAAGACGGCAUUAAUGUGAACAGGUUUCUGUGUGAACAGAAACCCUGAAACACACAGACGUGCUGAUGGAGGUGAAAGGUCACUCACGUGAGGACAUAGUUGACGCUGACGAUGCAGUGCGGCCGAGAAGAGCGGCUGUUGUGAACGAUGGUGGCACAGCUCUGCACCCAAACCCAGCCGCCGUGUUUGGAAAGCAUCCGGUAAUCUGUGCAUGCUGAGACCCCUUCUCAUGUGGGUUGAGCUGAAGCUCACCUGCUGUCCAGGAAGAUGAGUUUGAGGUCCAGACUGGCGCGGAACAUGAACAUGUUGCUGUGGAGUUUGAUCUCGGUG